GAUGAACGCUGGCGGUAUGCUUAACACAUGCAAGUCGAACGGACUCUUCGGAGUUAGUGGCGGACGGGUGAGUAACGCGUGAGAAUCUGGCUUUGGGUUCGGGACAACCACUGGAAACGGUGGCUAAUACCGGAUGUGCCGAGAGGUAAAAGAGAAAUUGCCUGCAGAUGAGCUCGCGUCUGAUUAGCUAGUUGGUGAGGUAAAGGCUCACCAAGGCAGCGAUCAGUAGCUGGUCUGAGAGGAUGACCAGCCACACUGGGACUGAGACACGGCCCAGACUCCUACGGGAGGCAGCAGUGGGGAAGUUUCCGCAAUGGGCGAAAGCCUGACGGAGCAAUACCGCGUGAGGGAAGAAGGCUCUUGGGGUGUAAACCUCUUUUCUUAGGGAAGAACAAAAUGACGGUACCUAAGGAAUAAGCAUCGGCUAACUCCGUG
rnacentral:rRNA from 1 species